rnacentral:rRNA from 1 species
AAAAAAGGUAAGCUACUAAGAGCGAAUGGUGGAUGCCUUGACUGGUAAAGGCGAUGAAGGACGUACUAGACUGCGAUAAGCUACGGGGAGCUGUCAAGAAGCUUUGAUCCGUAGAUUUCCGAAUGGGGCAACCCAAUGUAUAGAGAUAUACAUUACCUAUAUAGGAGCGAACGAGGGGAAUUGAAACAUCUUAGUACCCUCAGGAAAAGAAAUCAAUAGAGAUUGCGUCAGUAGCGGCGAGCGAAAGCGUAAGAGGGCAAACCCAGUGCUUGCACUGGGGGUUGUAGGACUGCAAUGUGCAAGAGGUGAGUUUAGCAGAACAUUCUGGAAAGUAUAGCCAUAGAGGGUGAUAGUCCCGUAUGCGAAAAACAAACCUUAGCUAGCAGUAUCCUGAGUAGGGCGGGACACGAGAAAUCCUGUCUGAAGCUGGGUCGACCACGAUCCAACCCUAAAUACUAAUACCAGAUCGAUAGUGCACAAGUACCGUGAGGGAAAGGUGAAAAGAACUGAGGUGAUCAGAGUGAAAUAGAACCUGAAACCAUUUGCUUACAAUCAUUCAGAGCCCUAUGUAGCAAUACAGGGUGAUGGACUGCCUUUUGCAUAAUGAGCCUGCGAGUUGUGGUGUCUGGCAAGGUUAAGCAAACGCGAAGCCGUAGCGAAAGCGAGUCUGAAUAGGGCGCUUAGUCAGAUGCUGCAGACCCGAAACGAAGUGAUCUAUCCAUGAGCAAGUUGAAGCUAGUGUAAGAACUAGUGGAGGACUGAACCCAUAGGCGUUGAAAAGCCCCGGGAUGACUUGUGGAUAGGGGUGAAAGGCCAAUCAAACUUCGUGAUAGCUGGUUCUCUCCGAAAUAUAUUUAGGUAUAGCGUUGUGUCGUAAUAUAAGGGGGUAGAGCACUGAAUGGGCUAGGGCAUACACCAAUGUACCAAACCCUAUCAAACUCCGAAUACCUUAUAUGUAAUCACAGCAGUCAGGCGGCGAGUGAUAAAAUCCGUCGUCAAGAGGGAAACAACCCAGACUACCAGCUAAGGUCCCUAAAUCUUACUUAAGUGGAAAACGAUGUGAAGUUACUUAAACAACCAGGAGGUUGGCUUAGAAGCAGCCAUCCUUUAAAGAAAGCGUAAUAGCUCACUGGUCUAGUGAUUUUGCGCGGAAAAUAUAACGGGGCUAAAGUAAGUACCGAAGCUGUAGACUUGAUUUUA